GCUGGAAUUGUAUGAUUGUGAAGACAUCGCGAACCUUAAAGGUUGAGAAGUGAACGGAUUAUACGGCGAAUUGAGACGACGUGAAAAAGGGGAUUGGAAGCGGCAUUGAUAUCCGAACCAAGCGAAGUGAAGGAAGACGGGUGUCCUUUUCGUACACUGAGUGUGGUGGGUGAGUCUUCGUGCUGUGAAAACCUAAAAUUUUGACGUGGUGCUGUAUAUUGCUGUGGGUUGCUGUGUAUUGCCGUGUGUCCUGUCAGAUAAACCCCCUCCUUCACGCACUCCGUCGCGGGAGGACAAGGAGACUGCUGGUUCUAGCCUAGUUCAGUACAGUAUAUGUUGUGAGCGUGCUUCAGAUCUCCGGAGAUAGCACGGUACGCUGUGUUCAGCCCAGAGGUGGGAGCUAUUCAAAGCAAACUAACUGUGCUUUGUGUCCAAUCUGAUACCUGUGGAGAGAAAAGGAAAAAGAGAGUGAGUAACACAAGGAGAAAGAGAGGAAACCUGUACUUACAGUACGCUGUGUUCAGCCCAGAGGUGAGAGUCAUUCAAAGCAAACUAACUGUGCUAUUGUGCCCAAGUUGAUACCUGUGGAGAGAAAAGGAGAGAGAGUGAAUAACACGAGGAGGAAUAGAGCGAACCCUGUACUUACGGUAUGUUGUGUCCAGCCCAGAGGUGAAAGCCAUCCAAAGCAGAGUAACUGUGUUUUGUGUCCAAGUUGAUACCUGUAGAGAGGAGGAGAGAGAGUGGAUAACGCGAGGAGAAAUAGAGCGAAACCUGUACUUACAGUACGCUGUGUCCAGUCCAGAGGUGAGAGUCAUUCAAAGCAAACUAACUGUGCUAUUGUGCCCAAGUUGAUACCUGUGGAGAGAAAAGGAGAGAGAGUGAAUAACACGAGGAGGAAUAGAGCGAACCCUGUACUUACAGUACGUUGUGUCCAGCCCAGAGGUGAAAGCCAUCCAAAGCAGAGUAACUGUGUUUUGUGUCCAAGUUGAUACCUGUAGAGAGGAGGAGAGAGAGUGGAUAACGCGAGGAGAAAUAGAGCGAAACCUGUACUUACAGUACGCUGUGUCCAGCCCAGAGGUGAGAGCCAUUCAAAGCAAACUAACUGUGCUAUUGUGCCCAAGUUGAUACCUGUGGAGAGAAAAUGUGAGAGAGUGGGUAACACGAGGAGAGACCGAGGAAACCUGUACUUACGCCGCUGCCUGUGGAGAAAGAGAAAGCGAGUGAGCACCCAAGGAACGAACUGUGUGAACCAGUACUUACUGUGAGAGCCAUUCAAAGCAAACUAACUGUGCUAUUGUGCCCAAGUUGAUACCUGUGGAGAGAAAAGGAGAGAGAGUGGGUAACACGAGGAGAGACCGAGGAAACCUGUACUUACGCCGCUGCCUGUGGAGAAAGAGAAAGCGAGUGAGCACCCAAGGAACGAACUGUGUGAACCAGUACUUACUGUGAGCUGCAAUCAGCGAAGAGGUGAAAGCCAUCCAAAGCAGAGUAACUGUAUUUUGUGUCCAAGUUGAUACCUGUAGAGAGGAGGAGAGAGAGUGGGUAACACGAGGAGAGACCGAGGAAACCUGUACUUACGCCGCUGCCUGUGGAGAAAGAGAAAGCGAGUGAGCACCCAAGGAACGAACUGUGUGAACUAGUACUUACUGUGAGCUGCAAUCAGCGAAGAGGUGAGAGCAAUACCAAGCCGAAUUAACUGUGCCUUUGCGUCCCAGCCGUUGCCUGUGGAGGAAGAGAAAGAGAGUGAGCACCCCGAGAACGAACUGUGUGAACCAGUACUUACCGUGAGUUGUAUUCAGCGAAGAGGAGGAAGAAGGAGGGCGCUACGGAUACCUAAGACUCUGGCCGGGCCCCGAGUCCCACGCCCCGGAUCCCCGUGGCCCCCUUGCUCCCUGACCUCUUCCCGGCCAUAGCCCAUCUGGAGGGCCGAGUCAGAGUUUAGUUUUAAUUGCCCUUUCCCUAUUCCCCAAGCUAUUUUUAAAUAUUUAAAUAAAGAUUGUUUUAUCACUUACUUGUUUCUCGUGUUGUUUGGCCAUUGGGUUGGCUUUGGGGACCUCCUCGAGGUGGAAGUUGAAAAGGGGUGUGGCUUAGUCAAAGCAUAGCCGCCCCUGGGUGUGAC
rnacentral:lncRNA from 1 species